GCCGGGUGUGGUGGUGCACACCUGUAAUCCCAGCUGCUUGGGAGGCUGAGGCAGGAGAAUCACUUGAGCCCAGGAGGUGGAGGUUGCAGUGAGCCACGAUGGCGCCACUGCACUCCAGCCUGGGUGACAGAGUGAGACUCUGUCUUAA
rnacentral:SRP_RNA from 1 species